rnacentral:lncRNA from 13 species
AUGGUGACGGUGCCAGAUGUACCGGCGACCCUUGUGUUAACAGGAUUGUGUGUCGCUCUUCUCAUCACAGGAUCAUCUGGGACCUUCUGUACCACCAGUGUGGCUUCCCUGGAUUUAGGAUGCCUCCUGCGGUGGGAUUGUCCUCAGGCCAACGCUAACACCACCACCUACACCGUCCAAACUAAGACUCAGGGGUGGGUCUGUCUGUCUCUGUCUGUGCUCACUAUACUGACUGAUCUAAUCGACCAGUAUCUAGCUCUGUGGAAUGCUAUAUUACUGUGGCCCUACUCUCUAGAAUUAGUAACUCAUUAUUUUACUGGGAAAAAAUCCAUAAGUUAAUGUGACGUUUUAUUUUUCAGUGUAAUGUUUCCUCUGUGUGUAAUUAGUAUCUAGUCAUUUAAAUAUCAUAGUUUAAGUCAAGUCAUUGCUUGGUUGAGGGUUCUAACAAGCACCGGGAUCCUGAUACUCAUUUACUGAACAAUGAAAGUUAAUUUGAAUUGCGAAACGGUUUGGAGUUUAAGGGAAAGCUAGCCUAGAAUGGAAAGGGAAAGUACAUGAUUGUUGAUAGAACAACUGGCUCUGAUGAAGGGGAGAAGAGCAGGAAAGAGGUAGAGGGAGGUAGUGUGAGAAUUGAUCAUGUGUGGUUUUGGCAGAGAAACCUCAGAAGGGUUUUAAUCAGAGAGAUGAAUCAGUCACUCCAGUCUAUGGUUUAUUGGCCUUAAAAGUAGAUAGGAACUGAUAGAGGGGCACUACUGUUUUGUACCACAGCUGUGAAAUCAAGCCCGUCGCACUCUCUGCCUGCUCCUCUCCUCUCAACUGGUUUCAGUCAUAACAACCAGGGGGAUGGAUGUGUGUUAUCUUGUAUGGGUAUUUUCCGAAAUUUCCACAUUUCGAGUGAGUGACUAAGGUGAAACCCAUUAAUAGAUUGGAAUGUGUGUGUGUGUGUGUGUGUUACAGAGAUCCGUGGCAGGACGUGGAGGGGUGUGUGCGGAUCUCCGCCCAGCACUGUGACGUGUCCCAGGCCUUCUCUGACUUUGAACUCUACAACAUGAUCCGCCUGGGCCUCCACCAGGGCCCUGGGAGCCCAGUCUGGACAAAACCACGCAAGUUUGACCCAAGUGAUUUCAGUCAGUAACCUACCUCUCUGCUCUCAAGACCAAUCACAUAUCUAAAAUGCUGGUUUGUUGUUCCAAUCAAAUCAAAUGUCACGUAGAGAGCAUUUAAAAAUCUCAUUACACUGCAGAAUUCAAAUGGAUGUGGCUAAAGCUGCUGACAUGAGUAGGUUGGUGUGAUUGAAAUGACAAAGUGGCUUCUUCCCUUCCCCUCUCCUCUCCUCAGCCUUCAACAGCCCCUCCAUCUCUGUGUCUCUGUCUAGAGAGAGGCUGGUAGUGGAGGUGCACUUCCCAUGUUCUACCAACAGAGGGUGCUUUCCUCUGCAGAGCUGCUGUCCACUGUCAGAACUGAUUGACCCCUGGGUCACAGUGACCGUAUAUAACCAACAUAACCACUCUGACUACAAGGUAUCCCCCUGCUUGUGCCAUCUACAAUACCACCUUUUGUUCACCCUCCAUCUUCUCUCUUUCUUUCUGUCUCUGUCUCUCUCUCACACUCAUGGUCCCUCCCUUUCCCCUGCUGCUAUGUAAGUGAAUCUGUGGAGUACACUUCUUAAAGUGCUCCAACCAUAUACGGUCAUGUUGUCCAGUCUAUGGUGUGUGUUGUUUGUGUGCAUCCGGUUAGUACAAGCUCCACAAGUGCUCUCUCUCUCNNNNNNNNNNCUACUUAUGCAAUAUCAUGGUUUAGUGAGAUGGAAAUAGCACAGAGAGGAAGUGACUGCCGGGGGGUGAUGUUCAGAGCAUGCGCCUUGCAGUCACUUGUGUUUGUCUGCCCCUUUAUGCCUUUACACACAAUAGAUUUACCCCAUGUAAACUUUCCUUUUGGGAUGGUUGUAACUGAACUAGAGCGCGAUGAAGCGAGCUGAAGUCUGUGAGCUGGAGCUGUAAAUAAUGGCUCUGGGGUUUCCCUAUGUUCAGGUCUAGGAUCAGAUCCCCCCCCCCCCCUCC